GAUAGAUAUUAAUUUAAAUAUUUAAUCUAAGAAUAUAAGGGUAGAGCUUUAUCAUUCAAUAAUAAAUGAAAUAUAAGUUAAUAAGUAUUUAUUUUGAUAAUUAGGUUUUUUAGUGGCCAUAUUUUUAAAGUGUUUUAACUAAUAUAAUUGAAUAAUUUAUUUAUUAGAUUUUAUUAAAUUAAUAAUAUGUUUUUAAAAUGGAUAAAUAUUAGAAAUAAUGAAAAUAUUAGUAGAAUUAAUAUAUGAAGAAAAAAGAAAAGUAUUAAAAGUAAAAUAUGAAAAUAGUUAAGAAAAAAAUAGAGGAACUCGGCAAAUAAGGUUCUUGCCUGUUUAACAAAAACAUGUCUCUAUGAAGUUAUAUGAAGUCUGACCUGCCCAUUGAAAUUUAUUAAAAGGCCGCGGUAUAUUAACUGUGCAAAGGUAGCAUAAUUAGUAGUUUUUUAAUUGAAGGCUUGUAUGAAAGGUUGGACAAGGGAUAAGCUGUCUUUAUUUUUAUUUUUGAAUUUGUCUUUUAAGUGAAAAGACUUAAAUAAGUUUAAGGGACGAUAAGACCCUAUAAAUCUUUAUAUUAGUUUAAUUUUAUUUUAAAUUUUAAUGUUUAAAAGAGUAAAGUUAAUAUAGUAUUGUAUUGGGGUGAUAGGAAUAAUUAGUAAACUGUUCGAAGGUAUAAACAAAAAUAUUUGAUUAUAAUUAUUAGUAGAUCCUUAGUGGAGAUUACAAGUUUAAGUUACUUUAGGGAUAACAGCGUUAUUUUUUUUGAGAGUUCUAAUCGAAAAAGAAGUUUGCGACCUCGAUGUUGAAUUAAAAUUUCUUUGUGGUGUAGUAGUUACAAGAGAGAGUCUGUUCGACUUUUAAAAUUUU
rnacentral:rRNA from 1 species